rnacentral:misc_RNA from 1 species
UAUGAGGAAAGUUACAAAAGGAAAUGUGACAAUAAAGCUCUGGGAUCUUGGAGGGCAGCGGAGAUUUCGAAGCAUGUGGGAGCGUUACUGUCGUGGGGUCUCUGCGAUUCUAUAUGUAGUUGAUGCUGCUGAUAGAGACAGUGUUCCAAUAUCUCGAAGUGAAUUGCAUGACCUCCUGGUAAAACCCUCCUUGAGUGGAAUUCCUUUGCUUGUUCUUGGUAACAAAAUUGACAGGUCUGAAGCUCUUUCAAAGCAAGCUUUGGUGGAUCAGCUAGGUCUUGAAUCAAUUACGGAUAGAGAGGUGUGCUGCUAUAUGAUUUCAUGCAAGGACUCAAUAAACAUAGAUGUUGUCAUUGACUGGCUUAUCAAACACUCAAAAACAGUAAAAUGAUCUGUGAUUUGACCUUUAUUCUAGACAGUCGUCUUUUCUGAAGUGAUGAAGGUGAAGAUCCUCAAGCUUAAGAGCAGAAUUGGUGAUACCUAGUGGAAUUUAUUUCCUGUACCUGGUUGUGUUUCCAGCAUUUUGUACAGUUGUGGAACUAUUGAGACAAGUUGUUAAUGCAUUGUUUUAUUUAUUCUUUUUUCCCCUCCCAUAUUUUGUUGUUUCUGGCAUAAG